UUCGGUAGGGGAGAUCGGAAUUCCUGGUGUAGCGGUGAAAUGCGCAGAUAUCAGGAGGAACACCGGUGGCGAAGGCGGAUCUCUGGGCCGAUACUGACGCUGAGGAGCGAAAGCGUGGGGAGCGAACAGGAUUAGAUACCCUGGUAGUCCACGCCGUAAACGGUGGGCACUAGGUGUGGGCAACAUUCCACGUUGUCCGUGCCGCAGCUAACGCAUUAAGUGCCCCGCCUGGGGAGUACGGCCGCAAGGCUAAAACUCAAAGGAAUUGACGGGGGCCCGCACAAGCGGCGGAGCAUGUGGCUUAAUUCGACGCAACGCGAAGAACCUUACCAAGGCUUGACAUACACCGGAAACGUCCAGAGAUGGGCGCCCCCUUGUGGUCGGUGUACAGGUG
rnacentral:rRNA from 1 species